rnacentral:rRNA from 1 species
ACUAAAAACCAAAAGUUGGGCCUAGUUAGUACUUGGUUGGGAGACUGAAUGGGAAUACUAGGUGCUAUAAGCU